rnacentral:tRNA from 1 species
UAAAUUGAAGCCAGUUGUUUAGGGGGUUUAGCUGUUAACUAAAAUUUCGGGGGGGUAAAACCCACCAAUCUAG